GUGCUUUUAGAUCAGAAAAACUGAUCUUAUUUGAGAACUGUUUUUAUGUUGUUCUUGUGCUACGUGUGCUAUUUUCAUUGGACGUUAUUUUGUGUUCGGGGGAGAGAUUUCUCUCGUUUCAGCUUCUUCGGUAUUGUCGACCUAGAUUUUUUUUUGUUCUCUCCCAACGGCGAAACGGCGAUUUCAUUUUCUUCCCGUCGAGCUAGGGUUUGUUUUUGUUUCUUCUUCUGUUCGAAAUCGCAUCUAGGUUUUCUUGUUUCUCUCAUUCUGUUCUUAUUUUUUACUUCGAUUGUUGAUUUUGGCGAAUUGGGUUUCUCUGGAUUGAUUUUGGGCGAUGUUGAUGUCGAUUUUGUUGGUUUAAUUCAGUUAAUUUUCGCUAUUGACUAAUCGAUCGUGCGUAUGGAUUACUAUUUCCACUGGGUGAACCGAUUGAGCAGGUGGUUGUUCUGAUCGAACAAAGUGAAAAGCUGGGGAAUACAUUGCUGAACAAGAGAGGGCUAGAUAUUCGUGUUGAACAAGAGAGGGCUAGAUAUUCGUGUUGCAGCUCUUGUAAGUCCUUUACAAGUCCUUGGGAACAAGAAGCUAUAGCGACGAAAGUAUCUUCAGGACAAGGGAUUGUCAAGUUACCCAUGGGAUGAUCAUACACCGGAACUCUUAUUUGGCCUUACUCAACAGAGCUUCGAAUGAUGGCUUGUUCAAGAAUGAAACCCGCUCCAUAUAUCUCUUCUUCUUGCUCUCCCCUAGAAUUUCUUUUGGUGUCAAAGCUGCUUUUGUUUGUUGGAAUAUUCUUUGCAGCCAAAAGACGUCGCAUCAGUGUCAUUUCUCUCUCAAAGUUUCUGCAGAUGGAUCAGGGAAAUUACUGUCCUAGUUCUAAAUUGUUGAUUAUGAUUUGGUUUUGUUUUGAGAUGAGAAACUAAGUUUUCUCUCUCUGUAUAUAUAUAAUGGUGGGACAUUGAAGUAGCACAGGGAGACUUUGAAGUUGUUGAACAUGACGAAUCAAGAACUCACUGUCACAUUCACUUUGAAGUUUGAAGUGGUAGAAACUGCAGGGGAAGCUCUAUUUGAAUGGGAGGGUCUUGGUCUGCCAAAUUCACAAACGAUCAAGUCAAUAGAGGCAAAACCAUGUGCUAAUAGGUGAGUGUUAUGGACACACCUUGCAAAAGAGCGGACGUAGUGCUCAUUAAAACAGGGUGAAUGUCAUACGAGAAGAAAUGUGCUGCAAUGUUUUUCUUGUUUCAUAAAUGUUAAUUUUUAAAGUUUUUAACAAUCCAAUAGAUGUACACUUAUCAUUGAACUUAUACUUAAGCCAUAAAUGGCAGAAAGUUUGUAAUAAAUUUGAACCUUGAACUUAGUAAUACCUUUGAAGCAAA